CGGUAACAGGAAGCAGCUUGCUGCUUCGCUGACGAGUGGCGGACGGGUGAGUAAUGUCUGGGAAACUGCCUGAUGGAGGGGGAUAACUACUGGAAACGGUGGCUAAUACCGCAUAACGUCGCAAGACCAAAGAGGGGGACCUUCGGGCCUCUUGCCAUCAGAUGUGCCCAGAUGGGAUUAGCUUGUUGGUGAGGUAACGGCUCACCAAGGCGACGAUCCCUAGCUGGUCUGAGAGGAUGACCAGCCACACUGGAACUGAGACACGGUCCAGACUCCUACGGGAGGCAGCAGUGGGGAAUAUUGCACAAUGGGCGCAAGCCUGAUGCAGCCAUGCCGCGUGUAUGAAGAAGGCCUUCGGGUUGUAAAGUACUUUCAGCGGGGAGGAAGGUGUUGUGGUUAAUAACCGCAGCAAUUGACGUUACCCGCAGAAGAAGCACCGGCUAACUCCGUGCCAGCAGCCGCGGUAAUACGGAGGGUGCAAGCGUUAAUCGGAAUUACUGGGCGUAAAGCGCACGCAGGCGGUCUGUCAAGUCGGAUGUGAAAUCCCCGGGCUCAACCUGGGAACUGCAUUCGAAACUGGCAGGCUUGAGUCUUGUAGAGGGGGGUAGAAUUCCAGGUGUAGCGGUGAAAUGCGUAGAGAUCUGGAGGAAUACCGGUGGCGAAGGCGGCCCCCUGGACAAAGACUGACGCUCAGGUGCGAAAGCGUGGGGAGCAAACAGGAUUAGAUACCCUGGUAGUCCACGCCGUAAACGAUGUCUACUUGGAGGUUGUGCCCUUGAGGCGUGGCUUCCGGAGCUAACGCGUUAAGUAGACCGCCUGGGGAGUACGGCCGCAAGGUUAAAACUCAAAUGAAUUGACGGGGGCCCGCACAAGCGGUGGAGCAUGUGGUUUAAUUCGAUGCAACGCGAAGAACCUUACCUGGUCUUGACAUCCACAGAAGAAUCCAGAGAUGGAUUUGUGCCUUCGGGAACUGUGAGACAGGUGCUGCAUGGCUGUCGUCAGCUCGUGUUGUGAAAUGUUGGGUUAAGUCCCGCAACGAGCGCAACCCUUAUCCUUUGUUGCCAGCGGUUAGGCCGGGAACUCAAAGGAGACUGCCAGUGAUAAACUGGAGGAAGGUGGGGAUGACGUCAAGUCAUCAUGGCCCUUACGACCAGGGCUACACACGUGCUACAAUGGCGCAUACAAAGAGAAGCGACCUCGCGAGAGCAAGCGGACCUCAUAAAGUGCGUCGUAGUCCGGAUUGGAGUCUGCAACUCGACUCCAUGAAGUCGGAAUCGCUAGUAAUCGUGGAUCAGAAUGCCACGGUGAAUACGUUCCCGGGCCUUGUACACACCGCCCGUCACACCAUGGGAGUGGGUUGCAAAAGAAGUAGGUAGCUUAACCUUCGGGAGGGCGCUUACCACUUUGUGAUUCAUGACUGGGGUGAAGUCGUAACAAGGUAACCGUAGGGGAACCUGCGGUUGGAUCACCUCCUUACCUUAAAGAA
rnacentral:rRNA from 1 species